ACAACUGCAGCGAGAGAAGAGGCUGGCAGCAUGGGUGGCAGGAGGCUUGGCAGCCUCACAGGAUGCCUGCAAAUACCUUUCACUUAUGCAGUUUGGCAGUGCAGUGGUGCAUGGAGACAGCGUCUUGGGCCUGAGAUGAACCAUCCAAUCUCCUGCCUCGAGUAUUGAAGCCUGGCUACUGUGACUGUGGGGAAGGGAUUAAUGGUCUCAGCAUUCAGAACAUCCUAUUAACAGGGAAAUGGAGUCGGGAGAGUUAUUUUAGUGAGAGAGAAGAAAAAGAGAAGGGGAAUAUUUUUCACAUGGAGAAAAAGACCUCCACCAGGAAACAGGGAGUCCAAUGCAAGAUAAGAGUCCUGAAGCUCAGAUGACACAGCUGAUAACAGGGAAGCCAGGACAGAAUCUCAUUGUUUUGAACACCAAAACCCGUUCCCUUGACAACUUGGCUAUACUACACUAUUCGAAUGUUGCAGAUACUGUGGUCACAUUUCAAAGGCCAGAUCUUUCCCAGGGCUUAAGCUGUUCCUUGGAUACUUUUGCUGAUGGUUUACACAUCUUCUUCCCACAUUAUAUUGUAACUUUCUU
rnacentral:antisense_RNA from 1 species